GUGCUUGCUUCAGAAGCUCAUAUACUAAAAUUGAAACGAUACAGAGAAGAUUAGCAUGGCCCCUGCACAAGACUGACAUGCAAUUUGUGAAGCGUUCCACACGGUG